rnacentral:rRNA from 1 species
AUGCGGCCGCCUCCGUCACGGCUGGCGGCGACCCAGCGGUGCGCCACGCGGUCCUCGUCAAGACCUCCUCCCUGUUGUCUUCCGUUUCCUCCUCCUCCCCUUCCUCCGCGCUCCCGCUCCUCCGCCACCUCCUCAGCACGUCCCCUUCGCUCCUCCCUCCUCCGCUCCAUGCCGCCCUCCAUGGCGCCACGUCUUCACGCCCUCGCCUUCAAGCUGGCUCUCGCCUCCUCUCCGUUCUCAGCUUCCUGUCUCAUAACUAUGUACUCCCGAUCCCGCCUCCCUGACGCCGCACACCACCUGUUCGACGAAAUCCCUGUUGCCUACCGGGACCCCGUCUGCUACUCCUCCACCAUCGUUGGCCUCGCAAAGAACGGCCGUCGGCAGGAGUCUCUGUCCGUCUUUGUUGGCAUGCGAUCCAAUGUCGUUGCUUCCACCAGGAACGCACUGUCCGGUGCACUCCGUGCGGCCGCGGCAGUUGAUGCUCUGGAGCAGGCUUGUGGGAUUCAUGCGCAUGCAUUGGUGAUUCGACUGGAUGGGAAUGUGUCUGUGGGAACCGCGCUGCGGGAUGCAUAUGGGAAGGCCGGGUUGUGGAAGAUGCACGGAAGGUGUUUGAGGGAUUGGGUGAUGAUGGGAACUUGA